ACAGUGUUAUAAAAACACGAAACAACCUCAAGUAUUAAAUGGUGUCACUCAUGAGGUAGAUGAGCCCUACAAAGUGUCCCUAGCUGUUGGUGAUCCACUGAUUUGUUGUGGUUUCAGAGGAUGCAGAUAGUGGCAGCGGUGAUGAGGAGUUGUGCUGUGUGAGCAUCAUUUUGGUCUAGAGAAGAAUGACACUUCCUAAAGAUAAAAAUUUGCUUUUAUUGCACCACCAUUACCAACAGUCCCUUGUUCUCAUUUAUGCUUGGGUGUUUUUAGAACAGUCUUACAUGGUGAAAAAAGUGUAAAUAUAACUUGCACUUGCUUUAAGGUCUCUGUAAAUUGCCAGAGCAGUAGAAAGGAGCUUUAUGGUUCUGACCAGUGUCUUCUGAUCUGUCUUGCUGUUGCAGUACCAGACAGUACUGCCUCCAGCCGCCUGCCUGCCCCCCUGCCAGAGAUUACUGACCUCAUGCUGCACAGUAGCCCUGAAGUACCUUCAUGGGCAGUUUCAGCCUCACCAGGUGAUGAACUCCAGUUCUCUUCUGCCAACCCUGCUGUGGGGAUGACAGCAUUCAGCAAGGAACCUGAUAAGCAGCUGGGGCAGUGAGGUUGUAAACUUCACAUGUAAAUUCACUGGGCAAUAUCUCUCAGAGGUCUGAGAGAAACAAUGUUCAGUCCAAGUACGCUGGCGGCCUUAUCCUGCUGCCUGUCAAAGCAGGUGCGAAGCUCACACUGGCUCUAGCGCUGCAGAACGUGGGCCUUAAAAAUCCUGAAAUCCCCUUUAGAAAUUCAAUUAUGAACAUAACUCCCUCCACUAUUCUAUGCUUCAUCCUUGUAUUCCCUUUGAAAAAUUAUUUAAAUUUCGUAAUCCUAACCAUACGGCUUAGCAGCCUCAAAGAAGGCAUUUAGCAGACACAUUUAUCUAGAGAAUUAUGGUUUUACUUAGAUUACCCAGUGAUUAUAGAUGUACUUGGGGAGGACAAGAGACCAUACCACGGGCAGCCUCAACAGAAGGAUCCCCUAAAUUUGGAUCUGUCCCUUUCCUGUUAAGACGGAUCCUGGACUGGAAUAAACAGUUACUGAGCAUGCAUCAUGAUGCGAUGUCUUUGAACAUUUUUCCCCUGUAUGACCACACAGGUUUAUUUAAAAAACAAUAAACAGAUUAAAAGAAGGUUUAUGCAUGACUAGAAACUCACUUUUAAAAUUGUUUAAUAUGUAACUUCCACUAAUUUGUUUGUUUGUUUGUUUAGAAAGCUUUUACAGGACUACAAGCCAAUAUAAUUGUGCCUUCUUGCUCUAGAUCACUUCUGCUUUAUUUUAGGCAAGUGUUUCACCUGGGAAGCAAGUCUGUGGAACAGAAUCAGACCUAAGUCCAGUGUGUCUUACUCCCGAUUUUCACCAAUAUAAAUACAAUCAGAAUUAAUUUUAUGGGAUAGCUGGAUUUUUAUGCUGUUGAUUAAAAAGACAAGCUGUCUUCCCAGAAGUGAGUUCAGGCUUGAAGAAGCCUACCUAACCAAAAAUUGGGCCUGAGAAGCAUAAAGAUGGGAUUGAGAAGUAUGAAGAUGUGAAAUAACACUUCUGGCAGUGUUUCAGAGCAGGGCCUUUUAAUGGCAUUUGACACAAACCAGGGUUUUUGGCUGAGAUGGAGUUUUGCAUUAUGCACUCUCAGUGUGUCCCAGCUGUGACCCAAUUCCAUCCUGGGAGUUAAGAGUGGUGGCUGCUGGCUGCUGGAUACGUAGGCAGGCUUCACAGUGUUCUGCUAAAAUGAGGAGCUAAGCUAUCAGAACUGCUGUGACCCUGGUUCCUAUGCAAGAGCAAAACAUGUCAGACCAGCUGUCAGUGAAGAGCAUCAGGAAAGCAAGAGAGAAAUCUCUUUAAAUGGAAACCUAAGUGAAUGGCUAGUAAAAUCAGACAAUUGUAACUUUUAUCUUAAAAAAUGAUCCAAGUGCAAAAUGUAAGUUUGUUAGAAAUGCCAGUAAAAAUAAUUGUAACCUCCCUGGCACUGCUUAGAGCGAGCAAUCUGUUAAAAAGAGGCUCGACCCCCCUUCUGUAGGGGUGAGCGUUCACUCUUUGGAUUAUGCUCCAUCAAGAGAACAUUAAAAUGUGAAAGAAAAGGUGUUCAAAAUUUUUAGGCAAAUUGAAGCUUAUUUUCAAAGGAAAAAAAAGAAAAAUGGCAUUGAUAAAAUUAGGGGAAAUCUGAACUCAAUUUUGACAGGUGCAUGCUAACUUGCUUAUUUAAUAUAUAAAUGUUGCGGUGAGUAUCAGAACAAUUCAUCUUAUGCUUUACAUACCUAUAGCUAUCCUACUCUGUUUAGCUAUUGUUGGGUUUUAGACUUUCUGUGUUAUUUAAUAGCAAGUGAUAACUAUGACAUUUUCACCAAGUGUUUCUAUUUUUGAACACGGGCUUUUCUUCUUCAACUAGGGAGUACUAUUUGAAUAGUCCAUUUAAAAACAUGUCUUCUAGUAAUUUUUCACACCAACUUUUAGAUCUUGAGAAAGGAAUACUGUUUAAUAACUUAGCUGUUAAUUUUCCACUUACAAAUAAUGAACAAGUUAUUAACAUUUUAUUCAGUGAAUCUUCUAUACUGAUGAUAAUGUUUCUGAAUAAUAAGAUAAUGCUAUAUAAUAGGUACAAUGGAACAUAGAGUUUUGAAAAUUGUUUUGUGUUUAGAGAGAUUAGAGAUAUUACCAGAAUUAGUUUCUCUGUGCAAGACUACAUACCAGUACCCUGGCACAGAAUCAACCUAAAGGGAUUACUUCUUUUUGGAAAUUAAGUUUGUGAUUUCCCUGAUCCUGAAAAAACAAAUGCUCAUGAGCUUACCCAGAGAGUGAUCCCAGACCGUAGUGAAAACUGGAGGUAUGCAGUGCACAAUAUGAAAUAAGUGCAAGGAUAUUCUCCGGAUCAGAAUCUACAAACCGAAUGGUCUCAUUGGGACACAAAACCACCUGUCAAACCGGUGCCUUAGAAGUCACAACAUUGCCCUGCCUUUUCAAGGCACCUGUGGAAACAGGCUUUGAAAGUGUGAAUGUGGAUGUGUUUGUGACAAAUAUGUCUCUGUCAUAGUUCACAUCCCAGUACUGAGGUUUUUUUACAGGCACCAACUGAAAUUGUACCUGAGAAAUUUAAUACAUGUGAACUUGUAAAGCCAGGAGCUGCUACCAUGACAGUGCAAACAGUUCCAUGAUGUCAAUUAAUGUCAGCUAGCUAAUACUGGAAUUGCCAAAGCCCACUUUCACUUGUGACCUUGUUCACUGAAACAAAGAUAAGAGUACUUAAAUAGAAGUGCAGAUAUCUGUGAGAAAGUAAACAAAAAGCCAGAAAUAGAAAAGCACAGAUAGGAGAUUGACAAAUGUUAGGGAAACGACUGAGGCAGCAAGAGAGCAUGCUAGGAGGGAAGGUGACAGUGACAAAGUGAGGUCUUGCUGAAGAAAAAUGAUGUUGUAGAGGUGUAAAUAUUUUAUCCAGCUCAAGUCAUAAUAGUUCCUGAUUCUGAGAUGUUUCCCUCAGAUAAUCGAGGUACAUCAUUCCUUAAAGAUGUUAACCAUUUAUUCUCCUGCUGUAUGAAGCCAAAAGGUACAAUUACAAAGACCUGGUCACAGUGUUUUUUAUAAAUGUAGGUAGUUAGAUUGCCACCUCUCACCUGCUUUGUUUCCAGUAUAGCUUUUUAUGGAAUUUAAUGAGAUACCAUGACUUUUGGAUCUGUGGCAUUAUUUCCAUCUUUUCUCUACCCACCCCCCCGCCAAUGGGAAUUACGUUAUGCUAAAGCAGUGAUAGUCCAUCAUUCUCUGCAUUCAUCUUUUCUAGUUCUUUAAGGAGUGACCAGGUAAGGUAGUCCUCAUACAGUCUAUCUUGUCUUUUUCUUUUUGACCCUACAAAGUGAAUUUCCUUUCCCCAGGAGCAUUUAGAGGCAGUGGACUGCUCAGAAAUACUCACAUACAUAAUUUAAAAAGAAGCCACAUCUCUACAGAGCCUGUGGCUCUGAAGAGGACUAAGGCAAGUAACUUAACAAUUGCUUCAAGUCCAAGCACCCUCUCUGUCCAGUCAGCUCCUUUCCCCUUCUCUUCUUUCUCUAAUAAAAGAUAAAAAAACUGUCUACAGGGAUCCUACCAGGUUUUGUUUAUUUGUCUUACACAUGAGAUUAACAAUAGAGUCCUACUGCAAUUUAGUAUUCUCUGUAAUAAAAUGUGAUCUGCAUAGCUCGUGUUAGCAAUAUUGUUAAAGUAACAUCUGUUUCGGUUUAUCAAUGCCUACUUCACUGACAUAUGAUAAACUGUAAUAUUUGUGAAAGUACUUGCUAUUUUUUUCUGAAACUACUAUAAUAAACUAAAUAUUAUUAAUCUGUGUAA